rnacentral:rRNA from 1 species
GCGGCAUGCCUUCACACAUGCAAGUCGAACGGCAGCGCGGCGGGUAACUCCUGWCGGCGAGUGCCGAACGGGUGACWUAAUAUAUCGGAACGUGCCCAAGAGUGGGGAUAACUAGUCGAAAGAUUGGCUAAUACCGCAUACGAUCUACGGAUGAAAGUGGGGGAUCGCAAGACCUCAUGCUCCUGGAGCGGCCGAUAUCUGAUUAGCUAGUUGGUGCGGUAAAAGCCUACCAAGGCGACGAUCAGUAGCUGGUCUGAGAGGACGACCAGCCACACUGGGACUGAGACACGGCCCAGACUCCUACGGGAGGCAGCAGUUGGGAAUUUUGGACAAUGGGGGCAACCGAUCCAGCAAUGCCGCGUGUGUGAAGAAGGCCUUCGGGUUGUAAAGCACUUUUGUCAGGGAAGAAACGGUGACGGCUAAUAUCCCUUGCUAAUGACGGUACCUGAAGAAUAAGGCACCGCUAACUACGUGCCAGCAGCCGCGGUAAUACGUAGGGUGCAAGCGUUAAUCGGAAUUACUGGGCCGUAAAAGCGUGCGCAGGCGGUUGUGUAAGUCAGAUGUGAAAUCCCCGGGCUCAACCUGGGAAUUGCAUUUGAGACUGCACGGCUAGGUGUCAGAGGGGGGUAGAAUUCCACGUGUAGCAGUGAAAUGCGUAGAGAUGUGGAGGAUUACCGAUGGCGAAGGCAGCCCCCUGGGAUAACACUGACGCUCAUGCACGAAAGCGUGGGGAGCAAACAGGAUUAGAUACCCUGGUAGUCCACGCCCUAAACGAUGUCUACUAGUUGUCGGGUCUUAAUUGACUUGGUAACGCAGCUAACGCGUGAUGUAGACCGCCUGGGGAGUACGGUCNGCAAGAUUAAAACUCAAAGGAAUUGACGGGGACCCGCACAAGCGGUGGAUGAUGUGGAUUAAUUCGAUGCAACGCGAAAAACCUUACCUACCCUUGACAUGGUCGGAAUCCUGCUGAGAGGCGGGAGUGCUCGAAAGAGAACCGGCGCACAGGUGCUGCAUGGCUGUCGACAGCUCGUGUCGUGAGAUGUUGGGUUAAGUCCCGCAACGAGCGCAACCCUUGUUAUUAGUUGCUACAUUCAGUUGAGCACUCUAAUGAGACUGCCGGUGACAAACCGGAGGAAGGUGGGGAUGACGUCAAGUCCUCAUGGCCCUUAUGGCGUUAGGGCUUCACACGUCAUACAAUGGUACAUACAGAGGGCGGCUAACCCGCGAGGGGGAGCUAAUCCCAGAAAGUGUAUCGUAGUCCGGAUUGGAGUCUGCAACUCGACUCCAUGAAGUUGGAAUCGCUAGUAAUCGCGGAUCAGCAUGUCGNGGUGAAUACGUUCCCGGGUCUUGUACACACCGCCCGUCACACCAUGGGAGCGGGGUUCACCAGAGGUAGGUAGCCUAACCGCAAGGAGGGGGCAUACCACGGUUGGAUUCGUGACUGGGGUGAGGUCGUAA